rnacentral:tRNA from 1 species
GCCUGGGUGGCUCAGUCGGUUGAGCGUCUGACUUCGGCUCAGGUCAUGAUCUCUGGGGUCUGUGAGUUCGAGCCCCACGUCGGGCU